GAUGAACGCUGGCGGCGUGCUUAACACAUGCAAGUCGAACGGGGAUUAUUUUAUUGAAGCUUCGGCAGAUUUGAUUUAAUCCUAGUGGCGGACGGGUGAGUAACGCGUGGGUAACCUGCCUUAUACAGGGGGAUAACAGUCAGAAAUGGCUGCUAAUACCGCAUAAGCGCACAGGGUCGCAUGGCCCGGUGUGAAAAACUGAGGUGGUAUAAGAUGGACCCGCGUUGGAUUAGCCAGUUGGCAGGGUAACGGCCUACCAAAGCGACGAUCCAUAGCCGGCCUGAGAGGGUGAACGGCCACAUUGGGACUGAGACACGGCCCAGACUCCUACGGGAGGCAGCAGUGGGGAAUAUUGCACAAUGGGGGAAACCCUGAUGCAGCGACGCCGCGUGAAGGAAGAAGUAUCUCGGUAUGUAAACUUCUAUCAGCAGGGAAGAAAAUGACGGUA
rnacentral:rRNA from 1 species